AGAGUUUGAUCAUGGCUCAGGAUGAACGCUGGCGGCGUGCUUAACACAUGCAAGUCGAACGGACCUGAUCUUCGGAAAAGGUUAGUGGCGCACGGGUGAGUAACACGUAGGUGACCCGCCCUGGAGUGGGGGAUAACUUCUCGAAAGAGAGGCUAAUACCGCAUACGCUCGGCCAUUCGGUUGGUCGAGUAAAGCUCCGGCGCUCCAGGAGGGGCCUGCGUCCGAUUAGCUAGUUGGUGAGGUAAUGGCUCACCAAGGCGAUGAUCGGUAGCUGGUCUGAGAGGACGAUCAGCCACACUGGCACUGACACACGGGCCAGACUCCUACGGGAGGCAGCAGUGAGGAAUAUUGGUCAAUGGGCGAAAGCCUGAACCAGCAACGCCGCGUGAGGGAUGAAGGCCUUCGGGUCGUAAACCUCUUUUCUGGGAGAAGAGACAAGGACGGUAUCCCAGGAAUAAGUCUCGGCUAACUACGUG
rnacentral:rRNA from 1 species